GAUGGGACCGUCUCGUUGCAGAGAAACGCUCAGGGCUCCCAUUGAUUUAGCGUUAUGGGGAGUUAAAAUUUUCAUGCACUUUAUAUUCGUUUUUGUGGUGUAUCUGUAUCUUAUUUUGAAGGCAUGUUUAAAUGUUACCAUAGCGACCAGAGUCAGAGAGUGAGGGAGAGGGGAGGAGGAGAACUUGUGAGUCUUAUCGGGCACACAAACAUGCAGGAGCCUUAUCUGACGGUUCAAACUGGCAACUUUAUUUAUUUAGCUGUUGAAAAAUAACAUUCAUGGAGUGUUUAAUA